rnacentral:rRNA from 1 species
AUGGACACAUUGCAGGACUCUGCGCUUCAUGGCGAUCACCCGCUGCUUGACCUUGUUGGAAAGCCAUGCUUCAGAGGGGGAGAAGCAGCAGCUCCGCGGGAUUGGCCGGUUGUUGAGCAUGCGGCACUGCGAGAGCAGGUUAUUGAGCUCGUACAUGCACUCUCGGAGCUCAUCGGCGUUGGUGGAAGAAAUGGCUGCCUUCUCCAACCCGGCCCUCAUGUCGUAGAAGUGGGAGCUGAAAGGGAGCUCCGCGGCUCCCUCCUCCGCCAGGCUAUCAACGAACUUUCUAACCAGAAACUGCACCACCACGGCCAUUGA